rnacentral:rRNA from 1 species
GACGAACGCUGGCGGCGUGCUUAACACAUGCAAGUCGAGCGGAAAGGCCCUGCUUUUGUGGGGUGCUCGAGUGGCGAACGGGUGAGUAACACGUGAGUAACCUGCCCUUGACUUUGGGAUAACUUCAGGAAACUGGGGCUAAUACCGGAUAGGAGCUCCUGCUGCAUGGUGGGGGUUGGAAAGUUUCGGCGGUUGGGGAUGGACUCGCGGCUUAUCAGCUUGUUGGUGGGGUAGUGGCUUACCAAGGCUUUGACGGGUAGCCGGCCUGAGAGGGUGACCGGCCACAUUGGGACUGAGAUACGGCCCAGACUCCUACGGGAGGCAGCAGUGGGGAAUAUUGCACAAUGGGCGGAAGCCUGAUGCAGCAACGCCACGUGCGGGAUGACGGCCUUCGGGUUGUAAACCGCUUUCGCCUGUGACGAAGCGUGAGUGACGGUAAUGGGUAAAGAAGCACCGGCUAACUACGUG